rnacentral:ncRNA from 1 species
GUGAUGAAAGGAGAUAAGGUUAGCACUCCCCUUGAUAAGGAUGGAAGAGGCUUCAGUGGCCUAUACAACACGCAUAUGGUUAAGGCAUUGCCAUCUACUUUGUGGCAUCUAACCAUCAACAACC